rnacentral:lncRNA from 1 species
UGGUCGCGACGCCUCUCGUCUCGGCGUCCCGGUGCCGCCUUUUAACCCCCCCCCCCUUAGAAAAAAACACUUUUGCAUUGCUGGAUAUUGGGGGUUUUCUCUCCCAAAAAGGGGCGUUUGCAUUGCUGGACAUUGGGUCUUUUCUCCCCAAAAAAGGGGCAUUUGCAUUGCUGGAUAUUGGGGUUUUUCUCCCCCAAAAAAGGGGCGUUUGCAUUACUGGAUAUUGGGGUUCCCCCCCCAAAGUUUGCAUUUGUAUUUCUGGAUAUUGGGGGUUUUCCCCCCAAAAAAGGGGCGUUUGCAUUACUGGAUAUUGGGGUUCCCCCCCCAAAGUUUGCAUUUGUAUUUCUGGAUAUUGAGGUUUUUCCCCCCCAAAAAAGGGGCGUUUGCAUUGCUGGAUAUUGGGGUUUUUCUCCCCCCAAAAUCUGCAUUUGCCUUGCUGGAUAUUGAGGUUUUUCUCCCCAAAAAAGAUGUGUUUGCGUUGCUGGAUAUUGGGGUUUUUUUCCCCAAAAAAGUGGGUUCGCUUUUCUGGUUAUUAGGUUCCCCCCCCCCAAAAGCUGUGUUUGCAUUGCUGGAUAUUGAGGUUUUUCCCCCCAAAAAAGGUACAUUUGCAUUGCUGGAUAUUGGGGUUUUUUGGCUUCUGGAUGCAGAAGCUUCCCUCCCCCCCCAUGGGGUCUUUUCCCCCCAAAUUAGGGGGUCUCCCCCCACCCGGAUUUUGGGGGGUUUCCACCCUGGAUUUUGGGAGUUUUUCCACCCGGAUUGGGGUCCCCCUUGCCCCAAGCCAGAGGACAAGCACACGUGUGUGGGGGUGACACGCGGCUGUUGCACAGGAAGCCUCCGCCUGUGAAGGGGGCUUUGGACACGUGUAUGUGGGCGUGUUGCAGUGGUACAGGGGUUGCGCGCACACACGUGUGCCGGGGUGUUGCACACACACGUGUGUGGGGUGUUGCAUGUGUGCUGGGUUGUUGCACACGUGUGUUGUGUGCAUACAUGUGCCAGGGUGUUGUGCACACACAUAUGCUGGGGUGUUGCACACACGUGUGUGCAGGGUGUUGCACAUAUGCAAGGGUGUUGCACUCACACACACGUGCAGGGGGUGUUGCACAUGCACACACAGGGGGGUGUUGCACACACACACAUGCAGGGGUGUUGCGCACACACACGUGCAGGGGGUGUUGCACACACACGUGCAGGGAUGUUGCGCACACACACACACGUGCAGGGGGUGUUGCACACACACGUGCGGGGGAUGUUGCACACACACACGCAGGGGUGUUGCACACGCACACACACACACGUGCAGGGGGUGUUGCGUGUGCGUAUGCACACGUGCAGGGGGUGUUGCACACACACACGUGCAGGGGGUGUUGCACACACACGUGCAGGGGUGUUGCACACACGUGCAGGGGAUGUUGCACACACACACGCAGGGGUGUUGCACACGCACACACACACACACGUGCAGGGGGUGUUGCGUGUGCGUAUGCACACGUGCAGGGAUGUUGCACACA